AUGAACCGCAAAGGAACCACCUGAUCCCUUCCCGAACUCAGAAGUGAAACGACGCAUCGCCGAUGGUAGUGUGGGGUCUCCCCAUGUGAGAGUAGGUCAUC
rnacentral:rRNA from 1 species